GAUGAACGCUGGCGGCGUGCCUAAUACAUGCAAGUCGAGCGAACAGACGCGGCGCUUGCUCCUCUGACGUUAGCGGCGGACGGGUGUGUAACACGUGGAUAACCUACCUAUAAGACUGGUAUAACUUCGGGAAACCGGCGCUAAUACCGUAUAAUAUAUUGAACCGCAUGGUUCAAUAGUGAAAGUCGGUUUUGCUGUCACUUAUAGAUGGAUACGCGCCGCAUUAGCUGGUUGGUAAUGUAACAGCUUACCAAGGCAACAAUGCGUAGCCGAGCUGCGGGGGUGAUGGGGCACUGUGGAGGUGAGACGCGGUACAGACUCCUACGGGAGGCACAGGUAGGGAAUGUACGGCAAUGGGCGGAAUCUUGACGGAGCAGCGCAGGGCGGGUGAUGAAGGGCUUCGGACCGGAUGACUCUGUUAGUGGUGAAGACCAAUUUUGUAAGUAACUAUGCACGUCUGGACGGUACCUGAUCAGAAAGCCACGGCUAACUACGUG
rnacentral:rRNA from 1 species